ACCCAACUAUACAUACAAUUAAGAUACCAAUUGUUCGCCAAACAACUACGAGUAGUAACUUAAAACUUAAAAGACUUGACGGUGCUUCAUCACAACCUAGAGGAGCCUGUCUAAUAACCGAUAACCCACGAUUAACCCAACCUACUCUUGCCAACAGUCUAUAUACCACCGUCGCAAGCUUACCUUAUAAAAGAAACAAAGUGAGCUAAACAGUACAACACUAAAACGACAGGUCGAGGUGUAACUCAUGAAUAGGUAAAGAUGGGCUACAUUCUCUACCAGAGAAUACGAAUAAUACUAUGAACAUAGUAAUUGAAGGAGGAUUUAGCAGUAAGAUAGGAAUAAAACGCCUAACUGAAUAUAACGCAAUGAAGUGCGUACACACCGCCCGUCACCCCUGCCUACAU
rnacentral:rRNA from 1 species